rnacentral:tRNA from 1 species
AGCCCCGUAGUGUAGUGGUCAAUCAUUGUGCACUUUGGAUGCGCAGACGGCAGUUCGAAUCUGCCCGGGGCUA